AGAGCCCCCCCCGCCGCGCGCGCACGCCUGACGUCAGCGGCCAGCGUGAGUCACGCGCGCAGGGAGAGCGCGAGGCGGCCUCUCCCUCCCCCCCCUUCCUCCUCCGGCCCGGCCCAGACCGGUUCCAACCUGCUGGGGCCGGUCCCAACUGCCUCCAACUGCCACCAACCCCUGGUCGGGCCGUGGGGCGGGAAAGCCGGGCCCCGCCGCUGAGUGGGGAAGGCGGGAGUGCGGGGUGCGGAGAGCGCACGUCUCAGGCCGGGCCUGUGAGGCCUAACUGUUUCUCAGACCGUAAAACCACAGUAUCAGGCCCUUGGGGGGCGAUCAGAAGCCCAGCCCAGAACCAGGAGGAGCGCCCCGGGGGCCGGCCCUGCCGCCGCUGCGAAUGACGGAUGGCGCGAGGUUCUGUCAGGCGCCCCGCGUUCCGUGCCCGGGAGGCCUUUUGUGUCCCCGAAGCCCGUAUGUUGCCUGUGGAGGCCCCUCUUGCUUGGAACUCGCAGGGACAGCCGACCCGGCCUGAGUCGGGGACCCCGAGGGCGAUGGGGUCCGAGCGCGUCUUCAGGCCCAAGCGAAGUACGGUAGCAGAGGGAACCCCGACGCUCGCCCCGCAGGAGUCCGGGAGAUGGAAAACCCGCUCCCUGGGCAUCUGCCUGUGUCUGAGGGGAGGUCCCUGCCGCCUCGUGUCCUUCGAGGCACGUUAAAGGACCACCUAGUGCGAGGUGCCUCGGAAGAAAGCAAGCUGCAGAGGCGGGCCCUCCUGUUCAGCAAAAUGUUGGUUUCCAGCCCCCCGUCCCCCGCCUCCAAUGCUCCUUGCGCGCCUCGCCUCCGCUUGGGGCUCCCAGGUGCUGUGCGUGUUUAGAAGACCCCCAGGUGGACCUGAGGCUGGCAGCCCUGGAGAGCCACCCAGUACUGCCCCCCGGUGAGCCGGGAGCAGAGACAGGAGGAGCUCCUGUUUGUCACUCACCGGAGUAAGCCCCGUUAGGAAGCUGUUCUGGGAUUGGGGGACAUGGGUUUUAGGAAGCGUAUUGGUUUCUUUGUGAGGUUCCCUGCUAUUGGUUGAAAGAAGUUGAAGCUCUGUCUUUUCUUGGCUACAGUCGGACUCGUGUUAACUGUUACUUUUCUACUGUGGCCAUUGCUUUGCGGGUCCUUUCUCCCUGGAGUUGUUUCUGCUGUCCUUCCAUCGGUUUUGGUGAAAUGAUCUUACCUUAGAGACUUCUGAUCGGUUGAGUGGUUUGGUCAAGCCACAGUAUGGUUUUGAUUUGAAAAUCUGCAGACUUCCCAUGCUUUUUAAAGUGGUUGCUCGCAUCAUAUUUUUCAGUAACAUACAAUACUUGGGGUUAUGUUUCAGCAACCUCUGUACGUUGUGUUGUCAUUGAGUAGACUGUGGAAUCUGUAUUAGAAGGGUUUUCUUACCAUUUGGAAUUGACAGAUGAAACAAGUCAACAUCUGUGUAAAUGUUAAUAACUGAUUUUUUGUUCUGUUGAUGCUUAUUUGUUUAAAAUCUCUUUCCAUUGCUUAUGGGGUAAGUGCAGAGUAAUCACUCUUGACUCUCAAGGUGGCUUAGAAAUCAACAGAAAGCCCAAGCUUGACUAGGUGAUUGGAGGUUGUGGGUGUUCCCAUCUUUUUAUUUCCUGUUAAGUCUUCAUUUGCAUAUUUGUUUACAUUUUUAUUUCCGAAAAUCAGAGGUAGACAUCUGUUGUCUUCCUUGGUAGAUUUAUGGGCUUUCAGAAGCUUUGAUGAUUUGGAAAACUUCAUUUCCUUGUCAUCUGAGGUCUUAGGAGCACAGGGAGUUUGAGGAUACAGAUGAUGGCACCUGUACACACACUGGCACUGAUUUUCUUUUCUUUUUUCUUUUUCUCUCUCUUUUUUUUUUUUUUUUUUUAAGGUGAGCCCAUUUGUUACCCUUGGAGGUUAGACCACAGGAAUAUUUUUGUUUUUCUUUUAAUAUUUAAAAUUUUGAGCUGGCCAGUAUUUUUUAAAUUCUCACUUGCAACAUGAAUUUCCAGAAUUUGUACCAGUCGAAUAUGGCCUUAUAUAUUGCAUAGAUCCCUUUAUGGAAUAGAGAUAUAAACCCUUUGUGUGUGUGUGUGUGUGUGUGUGUUUUUGUUUUGUUUUGUAUGUUUGUAUUUUUUUACUGGUUAAUUUUUUUUUUAACUUUUUAAAACUUACUUGUACAUAAAUUACACUAACUUUGUGUGUUUUAUAUGCCUGAUAUUAUUUGAGAUAACGUGCUAUGCAACCAUCUUUGCACUAAUCCAGAAGAAACCUCUUAAAACUGAGUGCCACUCGAAGCACCUGGCUGGCUCAGUCAGAGCAUGUGACUCUCGAUCUUGAGGUUGUAAGUUCGAGCCCUGCACUGGGUGUAGAGAUUACUUAAAAAAUAAAUAAACUUCAAAAAAAAGUUUAAAAAUUGAGUGCCACUCAUCAUAAUGGCAGACAGUCUUGGUAAACUUGGUUGAAUCUACCAAAAAUAAAUAUUGCCUUUCCAUAGGCAGUAUUCCAUAGGCAUUGCCUUGCCUUCUUGCCCCACAGAUAAAAUCCUAGAAUUUGAGCUCUUUUUCCUAAACCAAGAGGAGUAUUCAUAACAUAGUUUGAAUGAUAGUUUUGUUGGUGUAUUCCCCCUAAACUCAUGAAUAAUCUUGCUUUAAGAAAAACUUUGAAAUAAUCCUUUUAGCCAAUUGGUAUAGUCGGCACUUGUGCUAGACCAGAGGAAUUCAGCCCUUUAGAAAAUGGCUGUUAGAAUUUCCUCUUACUCAGCUCCAAGUGUCCGAUAGCAAGCAGUCAGAUGAUAGAUAAUGUGCAUGUAUCAGUCCUCUCUUCCAGUACAAGAACCACCUGACGUCUUGCUAGCUAUGUUAGAUACUAAAGAAGGCUUCCCCACAAUCCAUUUGCAUCUGCUUUGACUGGUGGUUUCUAUCAACCUACAAAGACUGACUUAUUGGUGAGGGCAGCUGGACAACUCUGAGAGCAACUUAGAGAAAUCCAUCUUGGGCACACUCUAUAAAGGAGCUCCUUCUCUGGAAAUAGCACCCCAGAUAAGUGCACAAAAGCAAGACACCCUCGUGGACCUACUUCCUCCCGCUUUCAACACCCUGAUGCCUGAAGCUAUGCUUGAUACUAAAGGAGGUUUCCUACAUUUGCAUCUUCUGUAUUUUGAAAUUGCAACUAUGGACAGUUAUGGCUAAUCCUAGUAGAUUGUCUUCCCUUCUUUUAACAUCUUGGAUGAAUUUGGGGCACACUAAUGUGUUAAGUGAAGAUGGAUGUUGAAUAGAUACUGUGUAGAUUCACACCAGCCAGCCAUCUUAAAAUACCUGCAUGGGCCACAGAGAUAUCUGCGGAGAAAGUGUGGGUAAAAUCAGUACAUAUGAUAAUAGGUGAAUGACCCGUGUUCUAGGUCCGUGGAGAUCCUUUGAGAUAAGAAGUGCAUAUUCAGCAAGUUUGAGACUCCUGGAUGUUGGUGCUUGUACUUCACUUUGUCUCUGAAUUGGUAGCCGUUGUAAGGAACAAGCCCGUUGUCCCCACUGCCUUUGUAAAAACGAACUGAGCUUCCUAGGGUGGGUGGGAGAUAGAAAGUUGUUCUUGCUGAAAUGUGAUGAAUUUCACUCUCAGGUAGUUUAUGGUGUUUUAAUGUUCACAUUGACAUUUCUUUAAGGACGAGCCACGUGUUUUAGGCAUUUUAAAUUCUAUCAGUGGCUAUAUUUUAGUUCUAAUAAUCACAAAUUUUUUAUUAUUUCUUUAUACAAUCCCUCAACUUUCACCCCUUUUUUCUUUGCCAGUGUGUAGAAUUUGACAGCAGUAUCAAGAGCUGAUGAGGAAGAGAAGAUGGAAAGGAGUCUAGCGACUUAAAAAUCUCAUAGCAUUCUCUGUGAGGUGACCUUUUUCCUGCUGGGGCUCAACUUAUUUAGGAGAUAAAGAAGAUACUCAGGCCUGUGAUAGUAUCAACAUGUCCUAUCUGAGCUUAUUGAAAUGUUUCAUCCCUUUCCUUAUUCUUUAUAUUACAGUUUACUUUUUGUGUUCCUAAGUCGACUCAUUUGUUUCCUACUAGUAUUUGAAACACCAUGUGGCCAACAUGAGUCCUAACAAAUUGACUUCUGAUGAGGAGGGGAAAGGCCCAUGUGCCCACCUUCCGGUGAGAUUUUGGCUUUGUCACAGAACUACCCCCAUGGAGGAGAUGUAGCUAUGCUUAGCAAAGAAGAGGUUGAGAAAAUCUUUUGGCCUGGUGUUUUAUGAUGUAAAAGUUUCAAAUAGUAGUUUUUAUAUGUAUUUUGCAGAAAAAUAUUUGAAUCCACUGUUACUGAACUGUUAGAGUCAGCAAUGAACUUUACUUCCUCUCGUGGACUUCACCAUGAUAGUCAAUGCCAUGACCUUUUGUUAGAGAAGCUGAAUAUUCUGGCAUGCCCUACUAUACCGUAGUCCGAUGGCUGAACAGUGGUAAAGUUUUAUUGUGAAUUCCUGAGUUCAGGGCUGAUGCUGAAACUUUUCUGAAUGAGAAGAAUGAUUCUCAGCCACUAUUCUUGAAUGUUGAAAAGCUUUGGAAAUUGGCUUUUUCUGCAUACUUGAUAAGCCUAAAAUUGCAAGGCAAACAGCCUCUUUGCAAAUCUUAAGUUGUAGUAAAGUUUCUUCGACAUCUAAUGUUUGAAUCAUGUCAUGUCAAGCUACUUUAUACACUUCAGUUUAAAGGCAAGAUUUCCAUUCCUACACAAAGUUACUGUGGGUGAUUUCUGAACACAAACUACUGUUCCAGCAGUGAUCUUGCUGCUGGAUGUGGAUGCAAAAGAAAUUUCCUUAUUUCAGAAUCCAUUUACCUGUGCAACUAAAGAGUUUACACCAAACCUUCGACUGGAAGUGAUUAAAAGGCAACUAUCAAGACUCUAAUAGAAUUCUAUAGUUGUCUUCUAAGAGAAGAAUGUGCUCGAUUAAAAUCACGC